UACGGGGGGGGCAAGCGUUGUUCGGAAUUACUGGGCGUAAAGGGCUCGUAGGCGGCCAACUAAGUCAGACGUGAAAUCCCUCGGCUUAACCGGGGAACUGCGUCUGAUACUGGAUGGCUAGAGUUUGGGAGAGGGAUGCGGAAUUCCAGGUGUAGCGGUGAAAUGCGUAGAUAUCUGGAGGAACACCGGUGGCGAAGGCGGCAUCCUGGACCGGUACUGACGCUGAUGCGCGAAAGCGUGGGGAGCAAACAGG
rnacentral:rRNA from 1 species